rnacentral:rRNA from 1 species
CACACUAUCAUUAACUGAAUCCAUAGGUUAAUGAGGCGAACCGGGGGAACUGAAACAUCUAAGUACCCCGAGGAAAAGAAAUCAACCGAGAUUCCCCCAGUAGCGGCGAGCGAACGGGGAGCAGCCCAGAGCCUGAAUCAGUGUGUGUGUUAGUGGAAGCGUCUGGAAAGGCGCGCGAUACAGGGUGACAGCCCCGUACACAAAAAUGCACAUGCUGUGAGCUCGAUGAGUAGGGCGGGACACGUGGUAUCCUGUCUGAAUAUGGGGGGACCAUCCUCCAAGGCUAAAUACUCCUGACUGACCGAUAGUGAACCAGUACCGUGAGGGAAAGGCGAAAAGAACCCCGGCGAGGGGAGUGAAAAAGAACCUGAAACCGUGUACGUACAAGCAGUGGGAGCACAGAGCAAUCUGUGUGACUGCGUACCUUUUGUAUAAUGGGUCAGCGACUUAUAUUCUGUAGCAAGGUUAACCGAAUAGGGGAGCCGAAGGGAAACCGAGUCUUAACUGGGCGUUAAGUUGCAGGGUAUAGACCCGAAACCCGGUGAUCUAGCCAUGGGCAGGUUGAAGGUUGGGUAACACUAACUGGAGGACCGAACCGACUAAUGUUGAAAAAUUAGCGGAUGACUUGUGGCUGGGGGUGAAAGGCCAAUCAAACCGGGAGAUAGCUGGUUCUCCCCGAAAGCUAUUUAGGUAGCGCCUCGUGAAUUCAUCUCCGGGGGUAGAGCACUGUUUCGGCAAGGGGGUCAUCCCGACUUACCAACCCGAUGCAAACUGCGAAUACCGGAGAAUGUUAUCACGGGAGACACACGGCGGGUGCUAACGUCCGUCGUGAAGAGGGAAACAACCCAGACCGCCAGCUAAGGUCCCAAAGUCAUGGUUAAGUGGGAAACGAUGUGGGAAGGCCCAGACAGCCAGGAUGUUGGCUUAGAAGCAGCCAUCAUUUAAAGAAAGCGUAAUAGCUCACUGGUCGAGUCGGCCUGCGCGGAAGAUGUAACGGGGCUAAACCAUGCACCGAAGCUGCGGCAGCGACGCU